CCCCUUUUAGGGUCACACCUGGAGAGUUUCCAGGACUCUACCGGUCUCGGCUACGGGAGGAAGAGUCAAGCAGAGGCCUGUCCGUUUCAUUCCCAGCUUGGCCGGUGGCUAGCGAGUGGAAGGCACUCGGCUACAAGU